UGGGACUCCCAACAGCCAACAGUCCCACUGCCAGAGCUGGGAAUGACGGGACAGAGCACCCCACACAGGACCUUCUCCCACAGGCUGCUUUGUGCAGACUAGGAUGGGAGACCCACCUUGUGACCAGCACUAGUGGCCAGGAUGCACCCAGGCAGCUUUGACAGCUGUGUGACACCUGCGAAGGUGCUCACAACAUAGCGCUGGAGCCCCGAGGGACGUGGCUACUGUCCGCCCUUUGGAGAGCCACUGCACCAAGGCACACGAGCCCUACCGCAGCGAUUGUUUGGCAGCCCUACACCUGUGUACCUUUCUCUCUCGGCAUUUCCUCCACCAAUAAAAGCUAUGACUUCGCCACAC